rnacentral:lncRNA from 1 species
UUGGAUUAAAAAGAAGGGAUUUAGGCCACUGAAAGUAUUUUCAAAGAUGGGUAAAUGACUCUGAUUAAGUGAUUGUCAAACUGAUAGGGUAUUCAAAGGGAUUCAGUUAAACUGAGAAAAGAAUUCAAAAUUUAACUAUGUUAGGAUGUUUAUCUCGGGCCAGAGUCAAAAUAAAAUUUGAAGAGCUCGAGAUUAUCUAAAACAUUGCUUAAAGGACCUUGGGACCGUCGGAUUCAAAAUCGACCGUAAUUGGGAUCUGAAGUUCGGGCGUCAGAAAAACAAAGAAGGGUGGGGACGACAGAGCAGAGCACGAUGUGUCGCCACCGACGCUCCUGCCCGCUGUCCAGCUCAACAGCUAGGCCACCUCCGCGCCACGCGGGUCUAUAGCUAGGCCACGGUGUUGACCAUGCGCACGGUAAAACUUCAUAUAUCUACCGCUCCCGCCGCCGUGUUCACCGUCGGUUCCUUUUACCGCCGCCGCCGAGCAAAAUUCCCCCACCACACCGCAGCUAUCAUUGAUUCCUUCCGUCCACACCUCCACUCACACCCC